rnacentral:rRNA from 1 species
GAUGAACGCUGGCGGCGUGCCUAAUACAUGCAAGUCGAGCGAACGGACGAGAAGCUUGCUUCUCUGAUGUUAGCGGCGGACGGGUGAGUAACACGUGGAUAACCUACCUAUAAGACUGGGAUAACUUCGGGAAACCGUAGCUAAUACCGGAUAAUAUUUUGAACCGCAUGGUUCAAAAGUGAAAGACGGUCUUGCUGUCACUUAUAGAUGGAUCCGCGCUGCAUUAGCUAGUUGGUAAGGUAACGGCUUACCAAGGCAACGAUGCAUAGCCGACCUGAGAGGAUGAACGGCCAGACUGGAACUGAGACACGGUCCAGACUCCGACGGGGGGCAGCGGUAGGGAAUCUUCCGCGAGGGGCGAGAGCCUGACAGAGCAACACCGCGUGAGUGAUGAAGGACUUCGGAUCGUAAAACUCUGUUAGUAGGGAAGAACAUAUGUGUAAGUAACUGUGCACAUCUUGACGGUACCUAAGCAGAAAGCCACGGCUAACUACGUG